rnacentral:misc_RNA from 1 species
GGGGGAUUCUGAAAUCAAUCAAGGACAAAGGGAUCGGCACUUUCUGGAGAGAGCUCAAGGAAGAAGGCUAUUUGAAAUGCCUCCCCGACGGAAACCUAUUGCAAACAAAAAUCCACAACAUUGGUGCGACACUUGUAGGUGUUGAUAAGUUUGGUAAUAAAUAUUACCAGAGGGUUGAUGAAGAGACUCAAUAUGGUAGACACAGGUGGGUUGAAUAUGCAGAGAAGGGUCGAUAUAAUGCUUCUCAGGUGCCACCUGAAUGGCACGGCUGGCUCCACCACAUAACUGAUCAUACAGGAGACGAGCUUCUGAUGCUGAAACCCAGUAGGUAUGGAAUAGAACACAAGGAAAACUUCUCUGGGGAAGGUGAAGAAUUUAUUUACCAUUCCAAGGGACAUGCUCUUAAUCCUGGACAGAGAGAUUG